ensembl:snoRNA
UGACAGGCUCCUAUCGAAGCCGUUCAUGCUCAUAUAGCAGUGAGCGGUCAAACGGAAGCCAAGAAGAAGACUUUCACCGACGGUCGCUGCUCAGUUUGAAAGUAACUGGUCCAGCAACAUUUAGGGGAAGGACAUUG